rnacentral:rRNA from 1 species
GAUGAACGCUGGCGGCGUGCCUAAUACAUGCAAGUCGAGCGAACAGACGAGGAGCUUGCUCCUCUGACGUUAGCGGCGGACGGGUGAGUAACACGUGGAUAACCUACCUAUAAGACUGGGAUAACUUCGGGAAACCGGAGCUAAUACCGGAUAAUAUAUUGAACCGCAUGGUUCAAUAGUGAAAGACGGUUUUGCUGUCACUUAUAGAUGGAUCCGCGCCGCAUUAGCUAGUUGGUAAGGUAACGGCUUACCAAGGCGACGAUGCGUAGCCGACCUGAGAGGGUGAUCGGCCACACUGGAACUGAGACACGGUCCAGACUCCUACGGGAGGCAGCAGUAGGGAAUCUUCCGCAAUGGGCGUAAGCCUGACGGAGCAACGCCGCGUGAGUGAUGAAGGUCUUCGGAUCGUAAAACUCUGUUAUUAGGGAAGAACAAAUGUGUAAGUAACUAUGCACGUCUUGACGGUACCUAAUCAGAAAGCCACGGCUAACUACGUG